CAGUCGCCGCGGGAAUACGUAGGUGGCAAGCGUUGUCCGGAAUUAUUGGGCGUAAAGGGCUCGCAGGCGGUUUCUUAAGUCUGAUGUGAAAGCCCCCGGCUCAACCGGGGAGGGUCAUUGGAAACUGGGAAACUUGAGUGCAGAAGAGGAGAGUGGAAUUCCACGUGUAGCGGUGAAAUGCGUAGAGAUGUGGAGGAACACCAGUGGCGAAGGCGACUCUCUGGUCUGUAACUGACGCUGAGGAGCGAAAGCGUGGGGAGCAAACAGGAUUAGAUACCCCGGUAGUCCCUGUCUCUUAUAC
rnacentral:rRNA from 1 species